CCUACGGGGGGCUGCAGUGAGGAAUAUUGGUCAAUGGACGAGAGUCUGAACCAGCCAAGUAGCGUGAAGGAUGACUGCCCUAUGGGUUGUAAACUUCUUUUAUAAAGGGAUAAAACGAGGCACGUGUGCCUUUUUGCAUGUACUUUAUGAAUAAGGAUCGGCUAACUCCGUGCCAGCAGCCGCGGUAAUACGGAGGAUCCGAGCGUUAUCCGGAUUUAUUGGGUUUAAAGGGAGCGUAGAUGGGUUGUUAAGUCAGUGGUGAAAGUUUGCGGCUCAACCGUAAAAUUGCAUUUGAUACUGGCAGUCUAGAGUACAGUUGAGGUAGGCGGAAUUCAUGGUGUAGCGGUGAAAUGCUUAGAUAUCACGAAGAACCCCGAUUGCGAAGGCAGCUUACUAAACUAUGACUGACAUUGAUGCUCGAAAGUGUGGGUAUCAAACAGGAUUAGAUACCCUGGUAGUC
rnacentral:rRNA from 1 species